GCUUGUCUCAAAGAUUAAGCCAUGCACGUCUAAGUAUAAGCGAUUAUACUGUGAAACUGCGAAUGGCUCAUUAUAUCAGUUAUAGUUUAUUUGAUGGUCCUUGCUACUUGGAUAACCGUAGUAAUUCUAGAGCUAAUACAUGCAUAAAGCCCUGACUGUUUGGAAGGGGUGUAUUUAUUAGAUGGAAACCAAUGCGGGGCAACCCGGAUUAUGGUGAUUCAUAAUAACUUUCAGAUCGAUCGCAAGAUCGAUGCAUCAUUCAAGUUUCUGCCCUAUCAGCUUUGGAUGGUAGGGUAUUGGCCUACCAUGGCUUUAACGGGUAACGGAGAAUUAGGGUUCGAUUCCGGAGAGGGAGCCUGAGAAACGGCUACCACAUCCAAGGAAGGCAGCAGG
rnacentral:rRNA from 1 species